GGUAAAUAAGUUAAUGUACAAUUAUACAUAUAAUGUAUUAUGUAUUAUUAAUGUUAAUAUGUACUU
rnacentral:tRNA from 1 species